GACGAACGCUGGCGGCGUGCUUAACACAUGCAAGUCGAACGGGAUUUAGUAAACAGCAGCCUCGGUGGAAGAUUACUAAUGAGAGUGGCGAACGGGUGAGUAACGCGUGAGCAACCUGCCUAUGACAGUGGGAUAGCCUCGGGAAACCGGGAUUAAUACCGCAUAACAUCGUAGAAACACAUGUUUUAACGGUCAAAGAUUUAUCGGUCAUAGAUGGGCUCGCGUCUGAUUAGCUAGUUGGUGAGAUAACAGCCCACCAAGGCGACGAUCAGUAGCCGGUCUGAGAGGAUGAACGGCCACAUUGGAACUGAGACACGGUCCAAACUCCUACGGGAGGCAGCAGUGGGGAAUAUUGCACAAUGGGGGAAACCCUGAUGCAGCGACGCCGCGUGAACGAAGAAGGUAUUCGUAUCGUAAAGUUCUGUCCUAUGGGAAGAUAAUGACAGUACCAUAGAAGAAAGCUCCGGCUAAAUACGUG
rnacentral:rRNA from 1 species